rnacentral:rRNA from 1 species
CAUGGGGCGAGCUAUACAUGCAAGUCGAGCGGACCGACGGGAGCUUGCUCCCUUAGGUCAGCGGCGGACGGGUGAGUAACACGUGGGUAACCUGCCUGUAAGACUGGGAUAACUCCGGGAAACCGGGGCUAAUACCGGAUGCUUGAUUGAACCGCAUGGUUCAAUCAUAAAAGGUGGCUUUUAGCUACCACUUACAGAUGGACCCGCGGCGCAUUAGCUAGUUGGUGAGGUAACGGCUCACCAAGGCGACGAUGCGUAGCCGACCUGAGAGGGUGAUCGGCCACACUGGGACUGAGACACGGCCCAGACUCCUACGGGAGGCAGCAGUAGGGAAUCUUCCGCAAUGGACGAAAGUCUGACGGAGCAACGCCGCGUGAGUGAUGAAGGUUUUCGGAUCGUAAAACUCUGUUGUUAGGGAAGAACAAGUACCGUUCGAAUAGGGCGGUACCUUGACGGUACCUAACCAGAAAGCCACGGCUAACUACGUGCCAGCAGCCGCGGUAAUACGUAGGUGGCAAGCGUUGUCCGGAAUUAUUGGGCGUAAAGCGCGCGCAGGCGGUUUCUUAAGUCUGAUGUGAAAGCCCCCGGCUCAACCGGGGAGGGUCAUUGGAAACUGGGGAACUUGAGUGCAGAAGAGGAGAGUGGAAUUCCACGUGUAGCGGUGAAAUGCGUAGAGAUGUGGAGGAACACCAGUGGCGAAGGCGACUCUCUGGUCUGUAACUGACGCUGAGGCGCGAAAGCGUGGGGAGCGAACAGGAUUAGAUACCCUGGUAGUCCACGCCGUAAACGAUGAGUGCUAAGUGUUAGAGGGUUUCCGCCCUUUAGUGCUGCAGCAAACGCAUUAAGCACUCCGCCUGGGGAGUACGGUCGCAAGACUGAAACUCAAAGGAAUUGACGGGGGCCCGCACAAGCGGUGGAGCAUGUGGUUUAAUUCGAAGCAACGCGAAGAACCUUACCAGGUCUUGACAUCCUCUGACACCCUAGAGAUAGGGCUUCCCCUUCGGGGCAGAGUGACAGUGUGCAUGAUGGUCGUCAGCUCGUGUCGUGAGAUGUGGUUAGUCCCGCACGAGCGCACCCUGGAAUCUAAGUGGCAAGCAAUCAGUGCCACUCUAGUGACUGGCGGGUGCACAAUCGAGACGGUGAGGAAUGAACCGUCUCAAAU